rnacentral:rRNA from 1 species
GGGGAAUUUUCCGCAAUGGGCGAAAGCCUGACGGAGCAAUACCGCGUGAGGGAGGAAGGCUUUUGGGUUGUAAACCUCUUUUAAUAAGGAAGAAGAAAGUGACGGUACUUAUUGAAUAAGCAUCGGCUAACUCCGUGCCAGCAGCCGCGGUAAUACGGAGGAUGCAAGCGUUAUCCGGAAUCAUUGGGCGUAAAGCGUCCGCAGGUGGCCAAUCAAGUCUGCUGUUAAAGACAGAAGCUUAACUUCUGAAGAGCAGUGGAAACUGGAUGGCUAGAGUAUGGUAGGGGUUGAGGGAAUUCCCAGUGUAGCGGUGAAAUGCGUAGAUAUUGGGAAGAACACCAGUGGCGAAGGCGCUCAACUGGGCCAUCACUGACGCUCAUGGACGAAAGCCAGGGGAGCGAAAGGGAUUAGAUACCCCUGUAGUCA